GAUGAACGCUAGCGGCAGGCCUAAUACAUGCAAGACGAACGGUAAGUUGAGUAGCAAUACUUAGCCAAGAGUGUCGUACGGGUGCGUAACACGUAUGCAACCUACCCUAUACAGGAGGAUAGCCUAGGGAAACCUGGAUUAACCCUUCAUAGUAUUAUUGGAUGGCAUCAUUUGAUAAUUAAAACUAGAGGUGGUAUAGGAUGGGCAUGCGUCUGAUUAGUUAGUUGGCGGGGUAAGUGGCCCACCAAGACGAUGAUCAGUAGGGGUUCUGAGAGGAAGAUCCCCCACACUGGCACUGAGAUACGGGCCAGACUCCUACGGGAGGCAGCAGUAGGGAAUAUUGGUCAAUGGAUGCAAGUCUGAACCAGCCAUGCCGCGUGCAGGAAGAAGGCC
rnacentral:rRNA from 1 species